GACGAACGCUGGCGGCGUGCUUAACACAUGCAAGUCGUACGGUAAGGCCCUUUCGGGGGUACACGAGUGGCGAACGGGUGAGUAACACGUGAGUAACCUGCCCACAACUUUGGGAUAACGCUAGGAAACUGGUGCUAAUACUGGAUAUGUGCUCCUGCUGCAUGGUGGGGGUUGGAAAGCUCCGGCGGUUGUGGAUGGACUCGCGGCCUAUCAGCUUGUUGGUGGGGUAGUGGCCUACCAAGGCGGCGACGGGUAGCCGGCCUGAGAGGGUGACCGGCCACAUUGGGACUGAGAUACGGCCCAGACUCCUACGGGAGGCAGCAGUGGGGAAUAUUGCACAAUGGGCGCAAGCCUGAUGCAGCAACGCCGCGUGCGGGAUGACGGCCUUCGGGUUGUAAACCGCUUUCAGUAGGGACGAAGCUUUUUGUGACGGUACCUGCAGAAGAAGCACCGGCUAACUACGUG
rnacentral:rRNA from 1 species